AUGAGGCCGGCAUGGGGCAACCCGAAAGGUUUGCUGUUCCACCCUUCCGGGGACAAUGUGUUUGUUGCUGAAUUUGGUACCCAGGCAGAUAGAGCUCAGGUGAUCGAGGGCUCGCCGUGGAUGGUGGGCAAACAUGCUGUUCUUCUUAAAGUGUUUGAUCAGAACACCCCACCCCUUCAGGUUCAGUUUGAUAGCCUUGCCAUCUGGGCUCGGAUCAUGAAUUUGCCGCCAAGGUUGAUGAAAUCAAAGCUGGGAAUGGAGUUUGCCAAGACAAUUGGCCAUGUCUCCAAGGUGGAGGCUGAUUCUGAUGGCCGGUGCUGGGGAGGCUAUAUGAGGAUCAGAGUGGAGAUUGCGGUACAAGAACCAAUUGUUCGGUAUGUGACUGUGACCUCGGCCAAGCUCAAAUCCAUAGAUACCUACUCGGUGAUGUACGAGCGUCUUCCUUUUUACUGCUUCUCAUGUGGGCGCCUGGGGCACUCUUCAAUCUUAUGUCCAAGUCCUGGCACCAUAGAUGACAAUGGGGAGCUCCCUUAUGCUGCUAAGAAACUGUGUGUGGCCGAUGUCACCUCCAGGAAAUCGGGUGGAUCACGAUCUAGUAGUUCAUCAACGUCAGCUGGGGGUGAUGGCAGGCGAGGGUCCAGAGGCCGUGGCCGUGGUCCUUCUUCCCGUGGUCGCGGGAGGGGAAGAGGUUCUGUUGAUAAGGAGCUGUUUCCGGAAUCAAAUGAGAAAAUGACAACUACGGGUCAGAAGAGGAAAUCUGCCAAAGCACUUCCUUUGUCCUCGACAUCUGAGCCGAAGCAGGCGGGUGCUAAUGUGCUGGCCCUGGUUGUGGUUCCGGUGUCCGAUGCAGCUUGUACUUCUGAAGUUCAGGUCACCGAUGUGGAAUCUAACAAGAAACAGUGUGUCUCAAUCUCUCGAUCGGCGGAUCCGGCGGAGGCUGCAGGGCAGCCCCGCCAGGCGCAAUGA
rnacentral:rRNA from 1 species